UGGGAGGCAGAUACACAAAUUGAGCUGAAAUACUGCUCUGAUUGUCACGACACUUCCCUAGAAUAAAUUGCCUUUUGAUGACCGGGACGAAUUGAGUGAAAUCGUCACGGACAGAUACGGGGCAGACAGUU
ensembl:scaRNA small Cajal body-specific RNA 8